ACUCGAGAGUGGCGAACGGGUGAGUAAUAUAUCGGAACGUGCCCAGUCGUGGGGGAUAACGUAGAGAAAUUUACGCUAAUACCGCAUACGAUCUACGGAUGAAAGCGGGGGAUUCGCAAGAACCUCGCGCGAUUGGAGCGGCUGAUAUCAGAUUAGCUUGUUGGUGAGGUAAAAGCUCACCAAGGCGACGAUCUGUAGCUGGUUUGAGAGAACGACCAGCCACACUGGGACUGAGACACGGCCCAGACUCCUACGGGAGGCAGCAGUGGGGAAUUUUGGACAAUGGGCGAAAGCCUGAUCCAGCAAUGCCGCGUGUGGGAAGAAGGCCUUCGGGUUGUAAACCACUUUUGUACGGAACGAAACGGUUCGCUUUAAUACAGUGGGCUAAUGACGGUACCGUAAGAAUAAGCACCGGCUAACUACGUGCCAGCAGCCGCGGUAAUACGUAGGGUGCGAGCGUUAAUCGGAAUUACUGGGCGUAAAGCGUGCGCAGGCGGUUAUAUAAGACAGUUGUGAAAUCCCCGGGCUCAACCUGGGAAUUGCAUCUGUGACUGUAUAGCUAGAGUACGGUAGAGGGGGAUGGAAUUCCGCGUGUAGCAGUGAAAUGCGUAGAUAUGCGGAGGAACACCGAUGGCGAAGGCAAUCCCCUGGACCUGU
rnacentral:rRNA from 1 species